AAUAGAAACCAACUUGAAUUAACCUAUGCAAGAAAAAAAAAGUUUCCAGAAAACCUCUCUUUGGGGAGAUCCGAUCUCUUGCUUUUCUUGGCAACUUGAAGACUCCCUGCCUAGGAAAGGGAAGCUUUCCCUGUCUACCUCUGACUCCCAGCAGAUAUUCAGUGAUUGUGAUACUUCUGGCCAUGGCUCCUCAAAUACCCUCCUGCCAUAUACACCUGACUCCACCCAAGGGAUGAAGAAUCACAGGCCUGUGGUGUCACCAGGAAGAAGAUGCUGGAUGAGAGGGAGGCCCUAGUCCUUUGGUGUAUGUGUUGGUGCUCCUUCCUGUGAUUCCUGCUUCUGCCAUCUGACAAGGAAAAGGAAAAUCCAAUGGGUUCAGGAGACAUGGACACAGAGAGUUGGAUGAAGAUAUGAGAAGAGCUGGCCUUUCCACCAACAGAAGUCCUAGCACUGCAGGAUGCUGUGACUGGCUACUGGGAGCUUAUCAUACAGGGAUGCAACAACUCUUUCCCAUAACUGGAGAGAGACAGAGAAAGUGAUGGCAGAACCAACUUCCAGCAGAACAUCCUUCUCUUUGUGUCUGAGUAAAGACUGCAUCGGCUAACCUCACACGUCCUCCAGUGCUACCUGGGACCUUGGCAUGUAACUUCAAGGACGUAGGCUCAGCCAUGCUUUGUGUCUCUCUUAUCUCUUGCCACCAACAAAAUGGCAAGCCUAUUGUCAGUUGCUGGUCUUCUCAUCUACUCAUCCUACUCUGCCUGAACUACGAUAUCCCGGAUUCUCAAGUCUACAGUCUACUCACCUCCUCCCCACCAUUCUCAUUGUGCGGUGAG
rnacentral:lncRNA from 1 species